rnacentral:misc_RNA from 1 species
GAUGAAGAACGUAGCGAAUUGCGAUAUGUAAUGUGAAUUGCAGAAUUCAGUGAAUCAUCGAAUCUUUGAACGCACAUUGCGCCCGCUAGUAUUCUGGCGGGCAUGCCUGUCCGAGCGUCAUUUCAACCCUCAAGCCCCCGGGCUUGGUGUUGGGGAUCGGCGAGCCUCCGCGCCCGCCGUCCCCUAAAUCUAGUGGCGGUCUCGCUGUAGCUUCCUCUGCGUAGUAGCACACCUCGCACUGGGAAACAGCGCGGCCACGCCGUUAAACCCCCAACUUCUGAACGUUUGACCUCGGAUCAGGUAGGAAUACCCGCUGAACUUAAGCAUAUCAAUAAGCGGAGGA